ACCUGUGGUAUAUUUAGUGGGUUUUUACCUGUGUUGUUCCAUCUGGCACUGCUGACCGCACUGUUCUGCUGUAGACUGCAGACAUGAGGACACUAUGGGCCUGGUGUUUCUGUCUGCUCACCCUCUGCACAGUUUGUAGCAGCACGCAAGAUGACUGGAAUGCAGUAGUCCAUCAGCACGGCAUACUGAGUUUCCAUUCAAAUGAAAACCGUCAGGAGUUGAUUAAGAAUUUCAUUCAGAAGUCACUGAUCACCAUAGCUGAAGAGGUUCAAAAGGAAAGCAAUGAAGUAGAGUCUGCGGCGCAAACGGGUCAGCAGUCAGUCACUGUGACUGUCCACCCCACGAUGAGAAAUGGAGCCCACCUACUUUAUAAUCUAAUAUCAACAUUCGGGUUGUCUAAUCAGAGUACUGACUUUGGAAUAUUUUGAAAUUGUCAUUUUUAUGUAGAAAUAUGGCAUGUAAUUACAAAAUGAAGACUAUGAUUGGCACACCUGUUAUGAACUCGCUUAGCGUAAAUUAGGAACGCUUUAACUUUCUUGGCAAAUGGUGCAGCAGAUGCAGAAUCAUGUGCAGUGUUUGUAUGAACUGUGGCAUAAGGCAUUUUAAUUUAUUUUAGAGGGAAAAAUGGGUCAACAUUAAGAGUAUUUAAAUUUGGCAUCCAUCAAAAAUGUUGUCAUUUUUGCUCCAAGUCUGUUAACUAGGAAAUGAUCUUACUAAAAUCAACUAUUUCAAUGAUGUUUCAGCCCCACAUUAAAUAAGAUUUUUUAAAUGUCUUGCACCUUAAUUAUAAAUGCUAGCUACAUUUAACUCUACUGUUUUUGGACCAUGUGUUGAAUAAACAGAGCUCCUGGCUCGGUCAGUGCUGUGGGUGCAUCCACUUCAGUCUUCAAGCCUUCAGCAGUAAAACGCACACUUCGAACAAAUAUGCAGAGUCUUUUCCUCGGACUUCAGCGCUUUGUAGUAAAAUACAGAUUGCUUGUUACCAGCCCGCACCUGUCACUACCUUUUCCCAAAGAUGCUCACGAGCCGCUGCAGAGGGACGGAGAAGGGGACAGUGGACUCUCAGAGCGGGGGAUGUACAGGGAAAGUGUCUAUGACAGGGAGACAUGUGUGACUGUUAAUAAGCCUCUAUCGUUAUCAACUAUUCUCCGGUCGGUUUAUUUUGAGCAGACGGUGAUCACAUCACUCGU
rnacentral:lncRNA from 1 species